rnacentral:misc_RNA from 1 species
GAUGAAGAACGUAGCGAAAUGCGAUAAGUAAUGUGAAUUGCAGAAUUCAGUGAAUCAUCGAAUCUUUGAACGCACAUUGCGCCCGGUAGUAAUCUGCCGGGCAUGCCUGUCCGAGCGUCAUUUCAACCCUCGAACCACUAUUCGCGUAGCUGGAUCGGUGUUGGGGCACUACGGUGGAAUACCCGUAGGCCCCGAAAUGAAGUGGCGGUCCCGCCGCGGCGCCCCCAUGCGUAGUAACAUCUCGUCUCGCAUCGGGUCCCGGCGGAGGCCUGCCGUCAAGCCUAUUUUCUAAUUACAGAUGGUUUGACCUCGGAUCAGGUAGGGAUACCCGCUGAACUUAAGCAUAUCAAUAAGCGGAGGA